rnacentral:rRNA from 1 species
UACGUAGGGGGCAAGCGUUGUCCGGAUUUAUUGGGCGUAAAGAGCGUGUAGGCGGCCACACAGGUCCGCUGUGAAAACUCGAGGCUCAACCUCGAGCUGUCGGUGGAAACCGUGUGGCUAGAGUCCGGAAGAGGAGAGUGGAAUUCCCGGUGUAGCGGUGAAAUGCGCAGAUAUCGGGAAGAACACCCGUGGCGAAGGCGGCUCUCUGGGACGGUACUGACGCUGAGGAGCGAAAGCGUGGGGAGCGAACAGG